GCGUCCCCACGGGCAGUGCAGAGGUCACCAGCACACAGCAGAGACAGGCAUCCUGUGGGCGGUGCAGAGGUCACCACCACACAGCAGAGACAGGCGUCCUGUGGGCGGUGCAGAGGUCACCAGCACACAGCAGAGACGGGCGUCCCCACGGGCAGUGCAGAGGUCACCAGCACGCAGCAGAGACGGGCGUCCCCACGGGCAGUGCAGAGGUCACCAGCACGCAGCAGAGACGGGCGUCCCACGGGCAGUGCAGAGGUCACCAGCAGCAGAGACGGGCGUCCCACGGGCAGUGCAGAGGUCACCAGCACGCAGCAGAGACGGGCGUCCCCACGGGCAGUGCAGAGGUCACCAGCACCAGCAGAGGCACGGGCGGCAGAGGUCACCCACGCAGAGACAGGCGUCCUGUGGGCGGUGCAGAGGUCACCAGCACCAGCAGAGACGGGCGUCCCCACGGGCAGUGCAGAGGUCACCAGCACCAGCAGAGACGGGCGUCCCCACGGGCAGUGCAGAGGUCACCAGCACGCAGCAGAGACGGGCGUCCCCACGGGCAGUGCAGAGGUCACCACCAUGCAGCAGAGACGGGCGUCCCCACGGCAGUGCAGAGGUCACCAGCACGCAGCAGAGACGGGCGUCCCCACGGGCAGUGCAGAGGUCACCAGCACACAGCAGAGACGGGCGUCCCCACGGGCAGUGCAGAGGUCACCACCAUGCAGCAGAGACAGGCGUCCUGUGGGCGGUGCAGAGGUCACCAGCACGCAGCAGAGACGGGCGUCCCCACGGGCAGUGCAGAGGUCACCACACUGAGCCAGACUGUCCUCGGCCUUCCCUGGGUUGAGCACCAGAAGAAAACCAUGUGCUUUGAGCCCUGGAAAGACAAUCAGCCCAGCCAGAGCCAGAGCCUGAAACAGGCAGCCCCCAGGGCACAGCUGCAGGAAGCUGCAUCCUCUCGUGGGCUCCAGCAAGGCGGGGGACGCUGUGUUCCCUCAGUGGCUUCUUGGUGCCCCUUGAUGUCCAGGAGUGUGAGGUGAGGUGAGGGCUCUGAGCUGGGAAGCUGACAAGUCAGGGAGAAUGCCAGGCCAGACGCAUCGGCCUGCGGGGGCUGGAGCAGAGCCUGGCACUCACUGUACUUGCUCCGUCUCACUCCGGUUGCUGCGCUGGCCCAGGGCUGUCCACCCCAGGCGUGUGGCAGAGCAAGCCUGGCUCCCAGAGCUCCCCUCAGGCCCUGGAGCGGCAGGCAGUGGGCAUCCUCAGCCCAACCCGUGGCCGUGCCAUGCACAGGAUAGCUGAGCUUGCCGCUGCCACAGGGUGUCGGCGGGUUGGGGCAACAGACAGGGCCCCGGUGCUGGUGGCCAGGCUGGCUGUAUGUGUGGGUCGGCUGCCAUCUGACUGUGCUGGAACAAGAACCACCCCCACCCCACCCCCCACUGCUCUCCACCCGGUUCGGGGCCGGCCCUGGCUGGGCUUCGUGGAUCCUCAGGUUGUGCGGGUCAUGGCUUCCUGGGGCUGGGCCAGAGCCAUCAUGGAGUCACCACGGUUCCUUGCAGACACAGGCAGGGCAGGCGGCGCCUUUCCACCUUCCUUGCCUCAAGCUGCGGGGACAGCACCAAGAAGCCACGUGGACCCAGAUGGCCUCGCCGGACUUCCUGACUCAGGGCCGUCUCCAGCCUACAUCCCGCCGGGGCUGCACACACAGACGACUUCUCCUGGAGCCCUGGAGCAUUUCCCCCGUGUUUCGGCCGGGUUGUCUGCUUUACAUGAGUUUCUUUCAGUCGUGUCAAAGUGAAGGUCUCUUUCACUCAGGACGUGAUCAAUGGCGUGGCCAUCAAGUCACAGCGUUGAAGGCAACAGAUGGCCUUUAAUGACGCUAUUUUAAAAAAUAAUUUCCCCUUUCUUUCCCCAUCCUGGUUUUGUGAGGACAGAGCAUCGGCAUCUCAGGGCGGGGGUGGGUCUGCCUACUCUGUGGCCAGCAUGCAGCAGAUCCUUGUAGGUGGAGCCCACAGCUCUGUGUCCCGGCACCUCUGUGCCACCUGCACAGGGGCAGAGGGUGGGUUUUCCGUGAGGCCCCCUGGAGCCAAACCACCGUUGAUCACUUCCUCCUGAUGAACUGGGCUGUGUUGGGGUGCAGAGCUCUCGGUUGCGUAUGUUCUGGGAAUUGAGCCAGGGUCCUUGUUGCUGGGAAUUCUCAGACCUGGACAAUAUCAGUAGAGGAGACCACUUGAUUUUUAGUUUGACCCCUGGAGAAUUGAAAAGCUGGAAAUCUGUUUUCUGUACCUUCCCCCUCCCAACCCUCCCCCGACUCCCUACCUGGCUUCUGUCUGGAAGGGACGUCUGCAUGGCUGUCCUGGGGUGGCUGCAGGUGUGCAGAUGCUCACCGCCACUGUCUCCCCAUUCCUGCUGGAGCCCACUUUGGCGUGAGUGUUGCCUGGCAGAGGCAUCGCAGACCCACGGGAUGAUAAAGAGAAGCCAGAGAACUCAUAAUUCCAAAAGCUGGCAAAGUUAAAACGUGAUGUCUGGCCGGGUGCGGUGGCUCACACCUGUAAUCCCAGCACUUUGGGAGACUGAGAUGGGCAGAUCACCUGAGGUCAGGAGUUCGAGACCAGCCUGGCCAACAUGGUGAAAUCCCGUCUGUACUACACACACACACACACACACACACACAUAAAAAUUAGUGAGUAUGCUGGCGGGCGCCUGUAAUUCCAGUUAUUUGGGAGGCUGAGGCAGGAGAAUUGCUUGAACCUGGGAGGCGGAGGUUGCAGUGAGCCAAGAUCGUGCCAUUGCACUCCAGCCUGGGCAACAGAGUGAGACUCCAGCUCAAAAAAAUAAAAGAAAAAAGAAAAGAAAAUAAUAAAAUAAAUAAAAUAAGAUGUCCAAACUCACACCUGUGCAGCUCAUGGCUCUGGAGGGCUCACACCUGGCUACAGCACCCAGAGGUAGGGCCUUCUGAUGCUCCUUGUGUGCAAACUGUCUUGGUCCUCAUUAACACAAGAAGAAAAAGCAACAGCUGAAACGUGGAAUACGUAAGCCCACAGUGUGAACCAGUUUUGGGUCAGAAUCAAGCAAAGGCCAGGAAGCCAUAGCCAGGCUGUGUGAUUGCAGGCACCGUGGAAACUCCAGUAACUAAGAUGGCACUAUGAAGAGCUGCCUGGGAUGUUACAGAAGCCUUAGGCCAGUCAGUGUGACAACUUAGAUCAGAUGGACAAAACCCUUGAAGAAGGGUGCAGGGGGAGUGCCGGGUGCAGUGACUUCUUUCCUCAAGGAAAGCCAGGAUUUGGGACGCGUGUCGGAGCUGAGCCCCACGUCUCUCUUUACACCCAGACCUGCUCACCUUUUGUGGGAUUCAGGCCCGAGUGUGCGGCAUCGUGCAGUGGAGCCUCCGACCCUCACGGGCAGGGCACGUCCCGCGUCCAGGGCGUGUGCCUCCCACGUGUGUGCUGCCACCCCAAGCCUCGUGGGGUCGGAAGGAAGGUGCCAGGGGCUCAACAGGUUUGCGCCUUCGUCAUCUGCUCUUUUCCCACAGGCCCAGGACUGUCUGCAAAGCGCUUUACGCCGAGCAUGCUUCACCCCCGAGCGUGCCAGGGGGUCCGCAGCCCAUGGGAUGUGUGGGUCAUGGGCGGCGCUGGAAGGCAGACGUGGAGCAGUGCUGCCAACACCAAGACCUGACUUUGAAGUCCACAGGCUGCUGCUUGGCAUCAGAGUCACUGGUGAAAUCACAUUAAACGUAAUGGAAUUGGUAUCGGCAUGCAGCCCUGUGAGGCCAGGAUCAGGCAGAUGUGCUGCCGUUUCCCCGACAGGCCCGCCCUGGUCCUGGGCAGCCACACUCCAGAACGAGAGUAAUUAUCCUAAUUGCUUUAUUGCAUCAGUGUGGGGGCAGCUCGGGCAGCUUAGAGGAAAAGGGGCUUCUUUCAGGGCCCGUCGGCUUCAGGGCGACAUGCACCACCCGGAAGGGGCAGACCUCUGACUCCGGCAUGGAGGCGUCGUGGGAAUUUUUAGAAAAUGAUGUCUAUGGCAUCCUGACCUCUGGCCCCCAGCUGCAGCCCCCUGUGAGGCCGAGGCCCAGACCGGAGUCCCUGAAAGUGCUUUGUGCCUCCGACCUCCGGCGUUUUUGGCAGAGCUGGGACAGGAGCCGGGGUGCUCCUCACGGCUGAAGCGCAUCAGCCUCCAGGGUGAGGGUGUCUCAGAUCCCCGCACAGCCCCUCACACAGCCCCUGGGACAAUCACGCAGGACAGUGCUCUCCUGUGAUCUUCAAAGGAUCUCCUGGGUUGUGGGGGUGCAAAAUAAAACUCUGCUACAAAGAGCAUUAGUAAUUCCUCUUCCCAACCGCACAGUUCAGCUCAAGC
rnacentral:sRNA from 1 species